rnacentral:rRNA from 1 species
UCAAUGGAGAGUUUGAUCCUGGCUCAGGACGAACGCUGGCGGCAUGCCUAAUACAUGCAAGUCGAGCGGACCCGAGGUGCUUGCACCUCAAUGGGUCAGCGGCGGACGGGUGAGUAACACGUGGGCAACCUGCCCAACAGACUGGGAUAACUCCGGGAAACCGGAGCUAAUACCGGAUAGGCUCUUUUUGUCACCUGGCAGAAA